CGUGAGUGGCGGACGGGUGAGCAACGCGUGGGCAACCUGCCCCGUACCGGGGGACAACAGCCGGAAACGGCUGCUAAUACCGCAUAUUCCCGCGGGGCCGCAUGGCCCUGCGGGGAAAGCUCCGGCAGUACGGGAUGGGCCCGCGUCUGAUUAGCUUGUUGGCGGGGUAACGGCCCACCAAGGCUGCGAUCAGUAGCCGGCCUGAGAGGGCGGCCGGCCACAUUGGGACUGAGACACGGCCCAGACUCCUACGGGAGGCAGCAG
rnacentral:rRNA from 1 species